GCAGUCCAAGCCGAGUGGUUAAGGCGAUGAACUAAAAAAUUUUGGGGGUCUCCCCGCACAGGUUCGAAUCCUGUCGACUGCG
rnacentral:tRNA from 1 species